AACGUAGGUUCCGAGCGUUAUCCGGAUUUACUGGGCGUAAAGCGUGUUCAGGCGGCCCAGCAAGUCGGGCAUGAAAUCUCUCGGCUCAACCGGGAGAGGCUGUCCGAUACUGCUGGGCUUGAGGGCAGUAGAGGGUGGUGGAAUUCCGGGUGUAGUGGUGAAAUGCGUAGAUAUCCGGAGGAACACCAGUGGCGAAAGCGGCCACCUGGACUGUACCUGACGCUCAAACACGAAAGCUAGGGGAGCGAACGGG
rnacentral:rRNA from 1 species